UUUGAUGGGUCUCGGGGGUCUACUGAGAAGCUCUCAAGUUCCUCUACUGGAGAUGCCUGAGGCUCGUGUUCCAUGAUGCGGGGGUCAAUUUCAACGAUGACCAGCGCCUCUGCAUUAGGUGGUGCAUCGAUCAUAUCAACAUCUUCUUGUUCGGUGGGAGCAUCACCUAGGACGUCAGCCAUGACCACGUCAGCUACGACUACA
rnacentral:lncRNA from 1 species